rnacentral:rRNA from 1 species
GUGAGGAAUCUUCCACAAUGGGCGAAAGCCUGAUGGAGCAACGCCGCGUGCAGGAUGAAGGCCUUCGGGUUGUAAACUGCUUUUAUUAGUGAGGAAUAUGACGGUAACUAAUGAAUAAGGAUCGGCUAACUACGUGCCAGCAGCCGCGGUCAUACGUAGGAUCCGAGCGUUAUCCGGAGUGACUGGGCGUAAAGAGUUGCGUAGGUGGUAAGUAAAGCGAAUAGUGAAAUCUGGUGGCUCAACCAUUCAGGCUAUUAUUCGAACUCACUUACUCGAGAGUGGUAGAGGUAACUGGAAUUUCUUGUGUAGGAGUGAAAUCCGUAGAUAUAAGAAGGAACACCAAUGGCGUAGGCAGGUUACUGGACCAUUUCUGACACUGAGGCACGAAAGCGUGGGGAGCGAACCGUAUUAGAUACCCGUGUAGUCC